rnacentral:rRNA from 1 species
UUAGGAAUAAUCUUCAAUGCGCGAAAGCGUGAAAGUUUGAAUCAAAGUGCUUUACAAUCGUAAAGCUUUUGCCAAAUGUAAAAAGUUUGGCGAAUAAGGACUGGGUAAGACGAGUGCCAGCCGCCGCGGUAAUACUCGCGGUCCAAGUCGCAGCCAUUUUUAUUGGGUCUAAAACAUCCGUAGCUUGUUUGGUAAGUUUCCUGUGAAAUCCGGCUUCUCAAGAGUCGGGCGGGCGGGAAAUACUGCCAGACUAGAGACCGGGAGACGUAAGGAGUACGCACAAAGUAACGGUAAAAUGUGUUAAUCUUGUGCGGACUAACAAUAGCGAAGGCACCUUACGAGAACGGUUCUGACAGUCAGGGAUGAAGGCUAGGGGCGCAAAACGGAUUAGAUACCCCCGUAGUCC